rnacentral:rRNA from 1 species
UACAGAGGGUGCGAGCGUUAAUCGGAAUUACUGGGCGUAAAGCGCGCGUAGGCGGCUUUGCAAGUCGGGUGUGAAAUCCCCAGGCUUAACCUGGGAACUGCAUUCGAGACUGCAUUGCUAGAGUAUGGGAGAGGGAAGUGGAAUUUCCGGUGUAGCGGUGAAAUGCGCAGAUAUCAGGAGGAACACCGGUGGCGAAGGCGGCCUGCUGGGCAGUAGCUGACACUGAGGCGCGACAGCGUGGGGAGCAAACAGG